ACCAAACAUCAACGUGCACCUUGUACCUUGGACGUUGCCAAAUCCCACGACAAUAGCCUGCUGGGAGUCAUGUGGUGCCCCAUCCCGGUGCAAACAGCUUUGGGCAGGAGCCCAAAUACAAACUCCUUCUCUCUCUUCCCCCACGAACUGAAACUGAUGUUUCCAUCAGGCAUUUCAGCGGUGACCUCAGGUCUAGAGCUCAGAGUGCCACACCAAGCCCAUGGGCACAUCAGUGCUGCACGAUGCUGAGAGGACAGCCCAUGCUGGACACGGCACCGGGACAGCUGAGCGCACUCCAGCACACAGCGAAGCUAUGAUGGGAUAACUGCAGGAAGACACGGACACAUGCAUGAGCACAGAUGGAAAAGAAGUUUCUGAAUAACGCACCAGCUUGAACCACUGGAAAGAAACAAAUAAAUGAGCUGGCAACUUUCACAGGGAGGAGCCUUGAAGCCCAGUUCCCAAGACCACGCCAACCAGCUCCGUGUGACAGCAUACAGGAAUGAAAAUAGACAAGUGGAAUGAACUCACUGGAACCAGCGGGUGGUGUAUGUUCAGCUGCUCAGAGCAAUAUUUGCCUUGCCUGUUCCCAGCGAGGACAGCUGACAUCAGAGGAGCAAUGGACCAUUCAGCGGGCAGGAGAGCCCACGGCUUGUAUGGUGGACAUCAAAGUGCUUUGUGACAUGCAGAUGUUUUCCAUGCAGAGGCUGAGAAAAGUGAUGGCCAAGAUUCUGUAAACCCUGUAAGCCCUGAGCUGUGGUUUUUAGUUCAUUUUCUCCUCAUAGCCCUGUUUCCUUGCCCUUUCUUACGUGGAAGCAUGAUGGGUUAUAGCCUCAGAUGAUACAAUUUAGUGUGACCCCAUUGACUUCACAGAGUUGUUUACACAGGUUGCAAAUCUCUACCAUCAAUUUAAAUCUAUACAGAUUUGCAUCACGGAGAACACUGCUACAUUAUUCUCCAUAGCUAAUAAGCUUCUUAAAAUUAAGAAAAUCAAAUACCCUGGACAUCCAUUACACUUGUAUUUGGAGAUAAGGAUUUCAGAGGAUGCCUUCUCCUGCCCUAUCUCAUGUUCCUCAUCCUGCUCCUCUGGUUAUUAGAGGGUCCUCCCAGUGCCAUGUGAGCCAGAGCUCAGCUGCUGAGGACAGUGGCCAUGGAUGUGCCCACAGUUGGACCUGCUUGCUGACACAUAGCAAUGUUCCCUUUCCCUCUCCCAAGCUAGCACUGUGAAUAUAACCCAUCCCUGAGUGCCACUUAGCACAGGGCUCUCUUCACUACCACCCAGGCUCUCACAUAUGGGAUGUAGGUAAAAAUCCCUGCUCUGUUUGAUAGAGCAAGUCUGAUGCACAGCUCCCUCUGCCCAGGUGAAUUCCUCAACCAGCAAGCUAAUAGCUGUUUUAUAAAGCUCUCCUUCCCUUUCAUUUUCAUUUCAUGUGCCAUUUCAGAGGCCUUGCUUUCAUCCUCCUGUGGCAUAGAAACAUAUUUGCAACCUCACUAUUUUCCAUUAGAUGAAAUUCUUGUGUCCCCGCUUGCCCUAACCAGAAGCACUGUACCACCACGUCUGCAAAACACUGCAUUGUGCCCUGAUCUUGUGCUGUUCUGCAAGGAACACAGUGAGGUUUCACACAAAGCUUCCCUCCGGUAAAUAAGUGCCAGUCUGUACCCACAGCACACAUGGAGACAAACACUUCCCAUUAC